UGGGAUGUAGCUCAGUGGUAGAGCACUUGCCUAACAUGUGCAAGGCCCUGAGUUCCAUUCCCAGCACCACAG
rnacentral:tRNA from 1 species